UCACCAGUGCCAUUAAAGAAUAAAUAAACAAAACCAAGCUAGCGUACUUCUUUGACUGGCUCCAUUUACAAAAAAAUCCUCCAACAAUAUAAGCAAUUAGUGAUGAAAUUGGACAUAGAAAUGACAAAAAGAAACCCUAAACAAUGGGAGAACUAAUGGAGAAUAGAUAAGACUGGAAUUUGCGGAAAAAAUGACGAAGCAGCACCAAGAAAAAACAAAUUAGAAGAUAAUUCCUCAAAUAAUCUUACCGAAUCAGAAGGGAUGCGGUUGAAUUCGAAUUUCUAGCGGCAAAAAGAAAAAACUAAGAGAUGACAGAAAAUAUUAGGGUUAGGGAAGGGGGAGAUUUAAGAGAUGAGCAAGAAACAUAAAUCCUUACCUGGUUCAAUUGUGUCUCAGCAUCAGUGGUUAUGGCAAGAGUGGCAAAGAAGGAUCUCUGCUUUGAAGAUAGGGAGAUAGGCGGAGAACGAGAACGAGAGAGGCGGAGAGCGAGAAGGAGAUGAGAGCGCGCAUUUGUGUUUUUUUUUUUUUCUUCUACUUAUUC
rnacentral:lncRNA from 1 species